UACGGGGGGGGCAAGCGUUGUUCGGAAUUACUGGGCGUAAAGGGUUCGUAGGUGGCCAACUAAGUCAUACGUGAAAUCCCUCAGCUUAACUGGGGAACUGCGUCUGAUACUGGAUGGCUUGAGUUUGGGAGAGGGAUGCGGAAUUCCAGGUGUAGCGGUGAAAUGCGUAGAUAUCUGGAGGAACACCGGUGGCGAAGGCGGCAUCCUGGACCAACACUGACGCUGAGGAGCGAAAGCCAGGGGAGCAAACGGG
rnacentral:rRNA from 1 species